GGCAGAGGUGCGGGAGGUGUCAGCCGGCGCACUGCCGGGUGUGAGGUCGGGCCGGCAGUGGCAGUGCAGGUGACACAACGUGAACGCUCUGCGGUUGGUGGGAGAAAACGCUGGAGUGCUUUGACGGGGAUAGUUCUUGUUGGAUUUAGCCGCAUGGUCUCGUGGCCCAGAGCACGUUGAGGGAUCCUUGUCGUGGAGCACUGGUAACGUGACCGUUUCUUCCGCGUGGAUAUUGGAAGCGACUCUCAGCAGAGUGUGAGCUGAGCGUCUACAAGUCGGUGCCGGUGCCCCGCCAGCUCGCCGAGGGACCCACGGACGCGACCGGACGCGGCGAGCACCCUCUCUCCGGCAGCGAGCCAGUGCUGACCGAGCUGGCCGGUCGGCUCAACGCCGUCUCCACUCAGGUCACGAGACUGUCAGCUCCGGAAGGGUGGCACGGGGGCACCGGCGCCGUCAACUCGCCACCCGCCCCCACCUCGAGCGGCAGCGGAGCGCCUGACCCCACCGCCGCCAACGGCCGGCUCGCCAAGAAGUACCACCACCUCAGGGACAUGUUCUCCAACAGGUUCAGCCGCUCAGGCGACUCGGACGGCCGCUCUAUGCCGCUGUCGGCCGCUCCGGAACACGGCGGGGAGCACGGUGCUCCGCCCGCCUCCUCCGCAGCGGGAGUGGCGGCUGCGCGCGGCGCUCCUCUCCGCAGCAGUGUGCGCUCGCUAGCUGCGGAGGAGGUGUCCGCAGCAGCCGCUGAGCGGCAGCUGUGGGCGGCUGAGGGACAGACGCGAGGACGGGUCGCCUCGCUGGGUGCUCGGUAUGGCUCCGUACCCAGCACGCUCAGCACGGCUCCUAGUGCUCUAAGUGUGGCUCCCUG